UACGAAGGGGGCUAGCGUUGCUCGGAAUUACUGGGCGUAAAGGGCGCGUAGGCGGAUAGUUUAGUCAGAGGUGAAAGCCCAGGGCUCAACCUUGGAAUUGCCUUUGAUACUGGCUGUCUUGAGUACGGGAGAGGUGAGUGGAACUCCGAGUGUAGAGGUGAAAUUCGUAGAUAUUCGGAAGAACACCAGUGGCGAAGGCGACUCACUGGCCCGUUACUGACGC
rnacentral:rRNA from 1 species